UACGUAGGGUGCGAGCGUUGUCCGGAAUUACUGGGCGUAAAGAGCUCGUAGGUGGUUUGUCGCGUUAUUCGUGAAAACUCACAGCUUAACUGUGGGCGUGCGGGCGAUACGGGCAGACUGGAGUACUGCAGGGGAGACUGGAAUUCCUGGUGUAGCGGUGGAAUGCGCAGAUAUCAGGAGGAACACCGGUGGCGAAGGCGGGUCUCUGGGCAGUAACUGACGCUGAGGAGCGAAAGCGUGGGGAGCGAACAGG
rnacentral:rRNA from 1 species